AUUGAACGCUGGCGGAAUGCCUUACACAUGCAAGUCGAACGGUAGAGGGGGCAACCCCUUGAGAGUGGCGAACGGGUGAGUAAUAUAUCGGAACGUGCCCAGUCGUGGGGGAUAACGUAGCGAAAGUUACGCUAAUACCGCAUACGAUCUAAGGAUGAAAGCGGGGGAUCGCAAGACCUCGCGCGAUUGGAGCGGCCGAUAUCAGAUUAGGUAGUUGGUGGGGUAAAGGCUCACCAAGCCAACGAUCUGUAGCUGGUCUGAGAGGACGACCAGCCACACUGGAACUGAGACACGGUCCAGACUCCUACGGGAGGCAGCAGUGGGGAAUUUUGGACAAUGGACGAAAGUCUGAUCCAGCCAUUCCGCGUGCAGGAUGAAGGCCCUCGGGUUGUAAACUGCUUUUGUACGGAACGAAAAGGUCUCUCUUAAUACGGGGGACUCAUGACGGUACCGUAAGAAUAAGCACCGGCUAACUACGUGCCAGCCGCCGCCGUAAUAC
rnacentral:rRNA from 1 species